rnacentral:rRNA from 1 species
AUACGAAGGGGGCUAGCGUUGUUCGGAAUCACUGGGCGUAAAGCGCACGUAGGCGGAUUCGUUAGUCAGGGGUGAAAGCCCGGGGCUCAACCCCGGAACUGCCCCUGAUACUGCGAAUCUCGAGUCCGGAAGAGGUGAGUGGAAUUCCUAGUGUAGAGGUGAAAUUCGUAGAUAUUAGGAAGAACACCAGUGGCGAAGGCGGCUCACUGGUCCGGUACUGACGCUGAGGUGCGAAAGCGUGGGGAGCAAACAGGAUUAGAUACCCCGGUAGUCC